rnacentral:lncRNA from 1 species
CGAAUUUAAAAGUCGAUUUUGGUGGGAAGCAAACUCUGAUUUGCCAGCCAAAAAACACGAGAAGUAUUCGGACUGAGAGCAUGCUGUAUUUUAAUGGCACCGAGUUGUUGCUCAACAGAACGGAAGACAAGGAUCGCAAAGUGCUCUGCUCAAGCAAACUUCGUGACUUGAAUCCAUCAACAAAUCCAAGGUGGAUGCUAAGGAUGAAAUGAAUUCCAACAGAAUGUAACACCUUUGCAAUACCCUUUUUCAUCCUGGCUUGGGUUUUUCGUCAUAAGCUGCCGAAUCUUGCAUCUGGUACCUGACUCAAAGAAACUUUGACUUCAUCGUAGUUGGUGGUUAAAACUUGGAGGUUUGUCUACAAAGUAAGAAAAUAGGAUCAAUGAUUCCUUAUCCCACUCUUUCCACUGGAACCAACAUAGACAAAGGCAAUUGGUAAAAAGCGUUUCAAAGUUAUUACAGGUCCCAUGUAGUCCAAUCCAAAAAUAAGACUCCAUAUUUAAUUACUCCUUAUCAAAAUGGUGCAAUGUCGACGGUGUAAGUCGGCAACCACGUAUCUUGGUUUGCGACAAGGCAGACUCCCUGUCGUACUCUAGUUUUUACAAUUUUUUUAUUUUUUUAUUUUUUUGUACUUACAAGUAGUUUGUACAAUUAACACUUUUAAAUGAUACUACUAAACUUCCUUUAAAAAAAUGCUAGUAUAAGAAGCUUGAAAAGAAAUCGUCUUUCAGAACUUUGAAGUAAGCACUGGUUAAACUUAGCAAAGAUUUAAUCUUUGGUCUUGCUCCAAAGUUUGGAACAUAAUUUUAAAAAUAGCUUUUCUGCUACCCCCGAAAAUACUUUGAAGCUACCUAUAGCUCAGUAGAUGACCAAUGAAACAAACGAAAUUUACUCAAGACUUUCGUCUAUAAUGUUUUAAAAUUAUUUUCUGUUGCCCCAGAAAUGAUUUGCAUUACCAUAUGCGAAUAAAAUUCGACUGAAUUUCAAUGAAAAUUCUUUUGAAUCACUUUUCUGCUGCUCCAGGAAAUAUUUGAAGUUAUAUUCGACUGAAUAUUCAAAUUUCAAAUUUUGACUUUCGUCUAAAUUUCUUGAAACACUUUUCCACUGCCCCAGAAAAUUUGAAGUAAAAUUCGCGAAUAGAAUUCGACUGAAUAUUCAAAUUUAGGGCACUGUAUGCUGGCCAGGUCGGCCCAGCUCUCCUCCGGGGCUCCUGCGUCCAUCCUAAGGAUGAGCUCCGUCGGCACGAUAUUUCCGGGGUUCUUCGACUUCAGUUGAGCCUCAAGUAUUGCGAUGGCUUCGUCUUUCGCUCUGAUUUGGCUCUUUUAAGCGGGGAGUUCCUUAUCAAUAAUUUCUAACAUGCCUUGAACGUACUUGUCAGUCCUCUCCCAUUUACGGUGGCCGGAUUCUGCCAAG